GAUGAACGCUGGCGGCGUGCUUAACACAUGCAAGUCGAACGAUGAAGCCCAGCUUGCUGGGUGGAUUAGUGGCGAACGGGUGAGUAACACGUGAGUAACCUGCCCUUGACUCUGGGAUAAGCCUGGGAAACUGGGUCUAAUACUGGAUAUGACUUCUCAUCGCAUGGUGGGGGGUGGAAAGAUUUAUUGGUCUUGGAUGGACUCGCGGCCUAUCAGCUUGCUGGUGAGGUAAUGGCUCACCAAGGCGACGACGGGUAGCCGGCCUGAGAGGGUGACCGGCCACACUGGGACUGAGACACGGCCCAGACUCCUACGGGAGGCAGCAGUGGGGAAUAUUGCACAAUGGGCGCAAGCCUGAUGCAGCGACGCCGCGUGAGGGAUGACGGCCUUCGGGUUGUAAACCUCUUUCAGUAGGGAAGAAGCGAGAGUGACGGUACCUGCAGAAGAAGCGCCGGCUAACUACGUG
rnacentral:rRNA from 1 species